rnacentral:rRNA from 1 species
UACGUAGGGUGCAAGCGUUGUCCGGAAUUAUUGGGCGUAAAGAGCUCGUAGGCGGUUUGUUGCGUCGGCUGUGAAAACCUCGAGGCUCAACCUCAGGCUGCAGUCGAUACGAGCAGACUAGAGUGUUGCAGGGGAGACUGGAAUUCCUGGUGUAGCGGUGAAAUGCGCAGAUAUCAGGAGGAACACCGGUGGCGAAGGCGGGUCUCUGGGCAACAACUGACGCUGAGGAGCGAAAGCGUGGGGAGCGAACAGG